rnacentral:lncRNA from 1 species
CCGAAGGGUUUCAGCCCCAGUGACCUGUCAUCUGUCCCCUCACCUGCUUACAUGCUGAUUCAUUGAUGAGCUGGCAUCACAGGCCCCGCCUCCCUCUGAAUGGUCUGUGAGGUUGCGAUUGCUGCUGGAGAGGGGACGCUGAGCUGAGCCACAGUGGGUUACUACAAGUGUGAACCGGCGCCUAUCUGUUGCCACAGAAGAACUUGGUGACCAAACCGAGAAGCAGCCCUUUCUUACCACCCUGUUACUGUGCUAUCUGUAUCCGGCUUCUCUAGCUUUUUAAAGGAAUUUCUGAUUCAGGCACUAACAGCUAAUUCCACAGGAGUUGUAAGGCAGCCUGUGACAUAAACUGAGACAGAAGUUUUCCCUCAGAGACUGUCUUUUUUUUUUUUUAUUGGCAAAGACUUCUGGCUCUUCUCAGAGGAAUACCUUGUUGCUUAAGAUGAGUGGCUGUAGAAAACGAUGUAAACGUGAAAUAUUGAAAUUUGCCCAGUACCUUCUCAGACUAUUAACAGGUUCUCUUCAUACAGGAAUUCCCAAAACAUACGUGUGAGGUGGCUCUUGCCUGGAGUUCUGUUUCAGGCUUCAAGAUGACAGGCUACAGGUGUGAAGAUCAACUCUCCACCUGAGGGUAACAAAGGCAGUUCAAACCAAAACAUUCUGUUAAACUUUCGAUUGCUGUUUAAGUAGUAGGUUACAGUACUUCAGAUGUAAUAAAAUUGUAUUACUAAAAGCAUGACAUAAGCAUUCAUCAUUUCUUCAAGCAGAGGACUUUAGAGAGAGAGAGAAACAGUUUGUUUUACAAAUAUGCGUUGAGUUGCUUCCAGUCUUAUCAUUGUUGAAGGGACUGUGGAUCAAGCCAUUCACAAGGCUAGUGAUUUAAAGAUUUAGAUUUUUGCUUUUUUUAAUGUUGCAUUUUGGAAGUGUGAAGAGAAAAUAAAGGGCAAUAUUUAGCCAAAUAAUAGACUUAAGACAAACCUGUUUCUAGCUAUUAUAC